GGGUAGGUAGCUUAGUUGGGAGAGCGCAGCACUGAAGAUGCUGAGGUCGCCGGUUCAAGUCCGGCCCUACCCACCA
rnacentral:tRNA from 5 species